rnacentral:rRNA from 1 species
GACGAACGCUGGCGGCGUGCUUAACACAUGCAAGUCGAACGGUAAGGCCCUUCGGGGUACACGAGUGGCGAACGGGUGAGUAACACGUGGGUGAUCUGCCCUGCACUUCGGGAUAAGCCUGGGAAACUGGGUCUAAUACCGGAUAGGACCACUGCCUGCAUGGGUGGUGGUGGAAAGCUUUUGCGGUGUGGGAUGGGCCCGCGGCCUAUCAGCUUGUUGGUGGGGUGAUGGCCUACCAAGGCGACGACGGGUAGCCGGCCUGAGAGGGUGACCGGCCACACUGGGACUGAGAUACGGCCCAGACUCCUACGGGAGGCAGCAGUGGGGAAUAUUGCACAAUGGGCGCAAGCCUGAUGCAGCGACGCCGCGUGAGGGAUGACGGCCUUCGGGUUGUAAACCUCUUUCAGCACCGACGAAGCGCAAGUGACGGUAGGUGCAGAGGAAGCACCGGCUAACUUCGUGCCAGCCGCCGCCGUAA